GCGUAGGAAUAUACCUUUUAGUGGGGACGAACUCGAGGAAACGUACGAGCUAAUACCGCAUAAGAUCUAAGGAGGAAAGACUGGGGACCGUUCGGGCCUGGCGCUAAAAGAAUUAGCCUGCGUACGAUUAGCUAGUUGGUGGGGUAAAGGCCUACCAAGGCGACGAUCGUUAGCUGGUCUGAGAGGAUGAUCAGCCACACUGGGACUGAGACACGGCCCAGACUCCUACGGGAGGCAGCAGUGGGGAAUAUUGGACAAUGGGGCGAACCCUGAUCCAGCAAUGCCGCGUGUGUGAAGAAG
rnacentral:rRNA from 1 species